rnacentral:rRNA from 1 species
UACGUAGGGGGCAAGCGUUUGUCCGGAUUUACUGGGCGUAAAGAGCGUGUAGGCGGCCAAGCAGGUCCGUUGUGAAACUGGAGGCUUAACCUCCAGACGUCGACGGAAACCGCGUGGCUAGAGUCCGGAAGAGGAGAGUGGAAUUCCUGGUGUAGCGGUGAAAUGCGCAGAUAUCGAGAGGAACACCUGCGGCGAAGGCGGGUUGCUGGGCUGACACUGACGCUGAUGCGCGAAAGCCAGGGGAGCGAACGGG